GGAUAGCUGGAGCCCAUUACGAGUUCUAUCAGGUAAAGCCAAUGAUUAGAGGCAUUGGGGACGCAACGUCCUCGACCUAUUCUCAAACUUUAAAUAGGUAGGAUGGCUCGGCUGCCCCGGUGAGCCGUGCCACGGAAUCGGGUGCUCCAAGUGGGCCAUUUUUGGUAAGCAGAACUGGCGAUGCGGGAUGAACCGGAAGCCGGG
rnacentral:ncRNA from 1 species